rnacentral:rRNA from 1 species
UGAAGGCGGAUUAUUUAAGAGAUUAAUUGAUUGACGAUAAUCACAGAAGAAGCACCGGCUAACUCCGUGCCAGCAGCCGCGGUAAUACGGAGGGUGCGAGCGUUAAUCGGAAUGACUGGGCGUAAAGGGCACGCAGGUGGUGACUUAAGUGAGGUGUGAAAUCCCCGGGCUUAACCUGGGAACAGCAUUUCAGACUGGGUGACUAGAGUACUUUAGGGAGGGGUAGAAUUCCACGUGUAGCGGUGAAAUGCGUAGAGAUGUGGAGGAAUACCGAAGGCGAAGGCAGCCCCUUGGGAAGAUACUGACGCUCGAGUGCGAAAGCGUGGGGAGCAAACAGGAUUAGAUACCCUGGUAGUCCACGCUGUAAACGAUGUCGAUUUGGGGAUUGGGUGAACACUUGGUGCCCGA